rnacentral:rRNA from 1 species
UACGUAGGGGGCAAGCGUUAUCCGGAAUCAUUGGGCGUAAAGCGCGUGUAGGCGGUUCCGUAAGUCCGCUCUGAAAGCCCAGGGCUCAACCCUGGGAGGCGGGUGGAUACUACGGAACUGGAGUACGGAAGAGGAGAUUGGAAUUCCUGGUGUAGCGGUGAAAUGCGCAGAUAUCAGGAGGAACACCAACAGCGAAGGCAGAUCUCUGGGACGUUACUGACGCUGGAGACGCGAAAGCGUGGGGAGCAAACAGG